CCUACGGGAGGCUGCAGUGGGGAAUAUUGGACAAUGGGCGAAAGCCUGAUCCAGCCAUGCCGCGUGUGUGAAGAAGGCCUUCGGGUUGUAAAGCACUUUCAGUGGGGAAGAAAGCCUUGGGGCUAAUACCCUCGAGGAAGGACAUCACCCACAGAAGAAGCACCGGCUAACUCCGUGCCAGCAGCCGCGGUAAUACGGAGGGUGCGAGCGUUAAUCGGAAUUACUGGGCGUAAAGCGCGCGUAGGCGGUCUGAUAAGCCGGUUGUGAAAGCCCCGGGCUCAACCUGGGAACGGCAUCCGGAACUGUCAGGCUAGAGUGCAGGAGAGGAAGGUAGAAUUCCCGGUGUAGCGGUGAAAUGCGUAGAGAUCGGGAGGAAUACCAGAGGCGAAGGCGGCCUUCUGGACUGACACUGACGCUGAGGUGCGAAAGCGUGGGUAGCAAACAGGAUUAGAUACCCCGGUAGUC
rnacentral:rRNA from 1 species